rnacentral:rRNA from 1 species
ACGGGUGAGGAACACGUAGGAACCUGCCCAAGAGAGGGGGAUAACUAAGGGAAACUUUAGCUAAUACCGCAUAAUCUCUGAGGAGAAAAGUUGCCCGCAAGGGUAGCGCUUUUGGAGGGGCCUGCGUCCGAUUAGCUAGUUGGUGAGGUAAUAGCUCACCAAGGCGAUGAUCGGUAACUGGUCUGAGAGGACGACCAGUCACACUGGGACUGAGACACGGCCCAGACUCCUACGGGAGGCAGCAGUGGGGAAUCUUGGACAAUGGGGGCAACCCUGAUCCAGCGAUGCCGCGUGGGUGGAGAAGGCCUUCGGGUUGUAAAGCCCUUUAGGCGGGGAAGAAGGAUAUGGGAUGAAUAAUCCUGUAUUUUGACGGUACCCGCAGAAUAAGCACCGGCAAACUCUGUGCCAGCAGCCGCGGUAAUACAGAGGGUGCGAGCGUUAAUCGGAUUUACUGGGCGUAAAGGGCGCGUAGGCGGUUGUAUGAGUGUGAUGUGAAAGCCCCGGGCUUAACCUGGGAAGUGCAUCGCAAACGAUACGACUGGAGUAUAUGAGAGGGUGGCGGAAUUUCCGGUGUAGCGGU